AAUGAACGUUGGCGGCGUGGAUUAGGCAUGCAAGUCGAGCGAGAACCCCGCAAGGGGGGACAGCGGCGAAAGGGACAGUAAUGUGUAGAUUAUCUGCCCUCAGGUCCGGGAUAGCUGCGGGAAACUGCAGGUAAUACCGGAUAACAUCUCCGGAUCAAAGGUGUGAUUCCGCCUGAGGAUGAGUCUGCAUCCUAUUAGCUAGUUGGUGGGGUAAUGGCCUACCAAGGCAUUGAUGGGUAGCAGGUGUGAGAGCACGACCUGCGUCAUUGGGACUGAGACACUGCCCAGACACCUACGGGUGGCUGCAGUCGAGAAUCUUCGGCAAUGGGCGCAAGCCUGACCGAGCGACGCCGCGUGUGGGAUGAAGGCCUUCGGGUUGUAAACCACUGUCAGAGGGGAUGAAAUGCAGGUGGGUUCUCCCAUCUGUUUGACAUAGCCUCAGAGGAAGGACGGGCUAAGUUCGUGCCAGCCGCCGCAGUAAGAC
rnacentral:rRNA from 1 species